rnacentral:rRNA from 1 species
AACGAACGCUGGCGGCGUGCCUAACACAUGCAAGUCGAACGAGAAAGGGGCUUCGGCUCCGAGUAAAGUGGCGCACGGGUGAGUAACACGUAGGUAACCUGCCUCUAAGAUUGGGAUAACUUGUCGAAAGACGAGCUAAUACCAAAUAAGACCACGGUCUCCUCGGGGACAGAGGUCAAAGGUAGCCUCUAUUUAUAAGCUAUCGCUGAGAGAUGGGCCUGCGUACCAUUAGCUUGUUGGNGAGGUAACGGCUCACCAAGGCAAAGAUGGUUAGCUGGUCUGAGAGGAUGAUCAGCCACACUGGGACUGAGAAACGGCCCAGACUCCUACGGGAGGCAGCAGUGAGGAAUUUUCCGCAAUGGGCGCAAGCCUGACGGAGCGACGCCGCGUGUGGGAAGAAGGCC